GGAAGUACGCCGAAGUUGGAGAGUCGGGGCAGACUGUAAAUCUGUUGCUUCAUUGCUGAGUAGGUUCGAAUCCUACUACUUCCACCAACCAC
rnacentral:tRNA from 1 species